UACGUAGGGUCCGAGCGUUGUCCGGAAUUACUGGGCGUAAAGAGCUCGUAGGUGGUUUGUCGCGUUGUUCGUGAAAACUCACAGCUUAACUGUGGGCGUGCGGGCGAUACGGGCAGACUUGAGUACUGCAGGGGGAGACGUGGAAUUCCUGGUGUAGCGGUGGAAUGCGCAGAUAUCAGGAGGAACACCGGUGGCGAAGGCGGGAUCUCUGGGC
rnacentral:rRNA from 1 species